GGCGAACAGCGGUGGAGGAGAGGCAGCACCGAUGAAGAUGGAUGUAGGGAGCCAUCCCCCUAGCAUCGGCGGCCCUGCAAAAGGCCAGCGGAGAAGCGAUGAAGAGGAGGUUCAUCCCCUAGUCGAUGACUGAGUUUAUGGCCAUGCAGAGGGGAUGGGGCCGACAGGGGUCGGUGGUGGCCGGUGGGGGUGGGGGGAGGGGGCGUCCUUCCUGUGUAGCUCCUAACAAGAUAUUGUGAACAUCGACACGGGUGGAAGUUGCAGAAAGGCAAUGGCCCCUACGUGGAUCUGGAAGUGGCGUUACUCCUGUUCAUCAGUGACUAUGGGUGAUGAAGGCUUGGGCAGCAGCAGUUACCCGCCUUGGUGGAGUAGAAAGGAAUUGCACCAUCCCGGCGUGGAUUUGGAACAGUCGACGACCACCGGAGAGGAGGAAUAAACUAGAUCUGGAUUGAUACAUUUUCGCAAUUUUUUUAUGUUCCAGCCAAUAUAUUUGGAUUUUUCUUCGUGUUGAAUCGAAGUAUUGCAAUGGAUACUUUGAUGGUGUUUCAUAUUUCUUGCAUAUUUGGGAUGUUUCAACGGGUUGAAGUUUGAUGUUUCAUCCAUGAAAAUGAAAUGUUUCAAUGGUAUUUCAACUAUGUUUC
rnacentral:sRNA from 1 species